CAUGCAGGCGGUCGGGCGCGUUUUGUGUGACAGCGCAUGGCUUAACUAUGCGAGCAUACGAAAGACGGUCUGACUUGAGGGCUCGAGAGGGACACGGAAUUCCGGGUGGAGUGGUGAAAUGCGUAGAGAUCCGGAGGAACACCGAAGGCGAAGGCAGUGCCCUGGCGAGCGACUGACGCUGAGGUGCGAAAGCCAGGGGAGCGAACGGGAUUAGAUACCCCGGUAGUCCUGGCCGUAAACGAUGACCACCAGGUGUGGGAGGUAUCGACCCCUUCCGUGCCGGAGGCAACCCACUGAGUGGUCCGCCUGGGGAGUACGGUCGCAAGAUUAAA
rnacentral:rRNA from 1 species